CUUACUUUCUCCUUUUUUACCAUAUAAUUAUAAAAUAAAUCAAACUGAAUAAAAAUAUUGUACUUACAUUUUAGUGUAUCGUAUAUAGCACAGUAUAAACAUUUAGUUGUAUGAAAUUUUAGUUUGGACUGACUUCACCAGUGCUUUUUAUGCAGUCUGUUGUAAAACUAGGCAAAUAUCUAGCUGAGUUGAUGUAUCCCCUGGACGACCUCUGUGUACCUCCAGGGGUACCCAUACCCCUGGUUGAGAACCACUUGUGUAGCUACUAGUGC